UAGGUGCUGGCUCUUAGAGGGGAGGAGAAGAGCCGGGUCGCUCUCGUCAGCUGAGGAGAAUGAUUCAUAGAGGAGGGUCAGGAGAGAAAAACAGUUCUGUCUGCAAGCGCCCACUUAAAAGGCUGGACUUUUCUCCGAGGGAGGGAGAGGCUGGAGAGUAAGCCAGGCCUCGGGACUGACCCCGCCUCAGGCCGCUCGUCAGGCCUCUAUCGAGUCCUGGGCCUUGACGGGGGCGGCCGCGAGGCGCCGGUUGCUGGGGGACCGUGACGUCGCGGGGUGAAAGUUGAGGGGCGGUGACGUCGGCCCAGCCCGGGCGGAGGCUGGCGGGUUGGAGGCAGGAGGGAGGGAGGGAAGGAGGGAAGGAAGGAAGCUGGGAACGAGCGAGCGAGCGGGGGCGCGAGGCGUUUACCUGGAGGCAGCGGCUUGGGCGCGCAGAGCGGUCGCGGCUCCCCCGCACCUGCGGCCAUGGAUGAGGAGCGCGCCCUUUACAUCGUCCGGGCCGGCGAGGCGGGGGCUAUCGAGCGGGUCCUGAGGGAUUACAGCGAUAAGCAUAGGGCUACUUUCAAAUUUGAAUCAACAGAUGAAGAUAAAAGAAAGAAACUCUGUGAAGGCAUAUUUAAAGUCCUUGUAAAGGAUAUCCCAACAACAUGUCAAGUGUCCUGCCUGGAAGUUCUCCGCAUUCUCUCCAGAGACAAAAAGGUUUUAGUUCCUGUGACAACCAAGGAAAAUAUGCAGAUACUGCUGCGAUUAGCCAAGCUAAAUGAGUCGGAUGAUUCUUUGGAGAAGGUGUCAGAGUUCCCAGUUAUUGUGGAGUCAUUAAAAUGUCUGUGUAACAUAGUGUUCAACAGUCAGAUGGCACAGCAGCUCAGCCUGGAACUUAACCUUGCUGCAAAGCUCUGUAACCUCCUGAGAAAGUGCAAGGACCGAAAGUUUAUCAAUGACAUUAAGUGCUUUGACUUGCGCUUGCUCUUCCUCCUGUCACUUUUGCACACCGACAUCAGGUCACAAUUGCGCUAUGAGCUCCAGGGACUACCGCUGCUAACCCAGAUCUUGGAAAGUGCCUUUAGCAUCAAGUGGACCGAUGAAUAUGAAUCGGCCGUAGACCAUAAUGGACCUCCUCUCUCACCUCAGGAGACAGACUGUGCCAUUGAGGCCCUCAAAGCUCUCUUCAAUGUGACGGUAGACAGUUGGAAGGUGCAUAAAGAGAGUGAUUCUCAUCAGUUCCGUGUCAUGGCAGCUGUCCUUCGCCAUUGUUUACUAAUCGUAGGUCCAACCGAAGACAAAACAGAAGAGCUGCACAGCAAUGCAGUCAACCUUUUAAGCAAUGUUCCGGUCUCUUGUUUGGAUGUUCUCAUUUGUCCAUUAACCCAUGAAGAAACAGCCCAAGAGGCAACAACACUAGAUGAACUGCCCAGUGAUAAAACGGCUGAGAAAGAAACUGUUUUGAAAAAGAAUACCAUGGUAUACAAUGGUAUGAAUAUGGAAGCCAUUCAUGUUUUACUCAGUUUUAUGGAGAAGAGAAUAGACAAGGGAAGCAGCUAUAGAGAAGGUCUAACUCCAGUUCUCAGCUUAUUAACAGAAUGUUCCCGAGCCCAUCGAAACAUCAGAAAAUUUCUCAAAGAUCAGGUUUUACCACCAUUGAGGGAUGUGACAAAUCGACCUGAAGUUGGCUCAACUGUGAGAAAUAAGCUGGUGCGCCUCAUGACACAUGUUGACCUUGGAGUCAAGCAAAUUGCUGCUGAAUUCCUUUUUGUCCUUUGCAAAGAGAGAGUGGACAGCCUGCUGAAAUACACUGGCUAUGGGAAUGCUGCAGGACUGUUGGCGGCCAGGGGCCUCUUGGCUGGAGGAAGAGGCGAUAACUGGUACUCAGAGGAUGAGGACACAGACACUGAAGAAUACAAAAAUGCAAAACCAAACAUUAAUCUUAUCACUGGUCAUUUAGAGGAACCAAUGCCAAACCCCAUAGAUGAAAUGACAGAAGAACAAAAAGAAUAUGAAGCCAUGAAACUUGUCAACAUGCUUGAUAAACUUUCCAGGCCCCUUCACUUCCUUAAUUGGAACCAGGCACGGAUUAAUCUAUUGUCGUCCCCCAACCCCGCCCCGGUCACAUUUAACAAGACCCUGUCAUUAAUUCCAUGUGUCAAUACUGCCCUGUAGUACACAGAGCAGACAAGAAAGAAGAGCCCUUGAAAACAAGGGAAUGAUUUUUGAGUCGUUAUCAAGCUAAGUGGCAAGCGGGAAGCUGAAACUCGUAUAGUUGAACAUUCUUGGAGGCUUAUCUCUUCCCUGGCCAGAUGCCUGAUCAGAUGAGAAGCCCGCCAUGAUACUGUCACAGUGCCUAGAAUGGGCUCUUUAUCCAGUAGACAUCACUGUACUUUUUGAUGAUAACGAGGGCAGUCUUAACUUGUGUUAAGGCCUGUGUAUAGCAUUGAAGAGAGGAGUUGCUUAAACCAAUGGGACUAAAACCUGAUGGGACAAUAACGCCUUUGGAGGAAGCACUCAACCAGUACUCUGUCAUCGAAGAGACCAGCUCUGACACAGACUAAAAGCGUCACCUGCCCAACUCAAUAUUGCUUUUAUCAGCAUCUUUUCUCUGUAGCUCCAGGGGAGUCUUUUCUCUAAAACAUUUAUGCCCUUGCUUUGGCUAGAAACACAUUAACUGGUUUACUCAUUGAGAAUCCAGCAUAUCUGAGAGGUGAUCCUGUGUUUUCGCGAGACCGAGGCAUUCGUCCAGAGCUGCACUCGGACGGAGCGGCAGGGGCUGACCGCGGACAGAGAGGAGCUCCGUUUCAUCAGGAUGGAACUGAAGGACUUCAUCUGAUCAAGCAGCCCUGGCUGAAUCCGGCCGUUCUGCUCGCCAAGGUUCUUGGAAGAUUUAAUCGUGGCCUUCCUCUCGCCUGUGAAAGCUGCCUCUUCCAAAUCUCUCCAGCAGACGGAGGCCCGGGAGAAGCAGAACGAGCCUCCAUGUAAGGGCUGAGGCAAGUGACUUGCUAGAUCAGGACUGACUACAUGGAAGCCGAGCAGCUGCUCCAUAAACCUAGUCCCACUCUUCAUUUCAGUUUUGUACAAAUACGUGGAAAUGCACACACAAACCCACACACGCACAGCCCCAGGCCUGCAAACUGAUUACACUCUAAAAGUUUGUAGGUCCCUUAUCGAGAACUUCAGAAUACAUUUCUCCCUAUAAAGGGUUAUAAAUGAUGGUUUAGUUCUGAGGCAGCUACAGAUGCCUGUUUCUUCCUUAUGUACCUUAACACUAGUACCAGAGAACUGAACCCCAUCUGUAUCAUUGCAUGGGAGCAUGCAUUCUGAGGUCUAACUCGGGGUGCCAGGGACACACGUCCUCCAACCCAGCAGAGCGGGGGGGACUCCCAGCGUGCUGGGAGCGGCCUCUGCUGGGGCUGGAGGGGGUCAGUGGCACCCAUUUGUACAUAUAGGUCAUUCAUAGGUCACAGGUUGUACAUUGGGGACUGUGUGUGCGCUUGUGUGUUCGACCUUUCUACCAUAUGUGAUCAGUUUAAUGGUAACUUUAUUUAUUUAAAAAAAAGAAACACAAAUAGUUACUGUUAAACUGAUUAAGGCUGUUUAUUUUUACUUUUAGAAUUGGUCAUACGAAGAAGUAGAAUAUGAAUCCUGCAAUAGACAGUGGGCCUAGUUUUCAGUGGCUAAAGCUGAAAGGGGUUGGUUUCCUUGUGUAUAUGUACGCAUGUAUGUACACAUUCGUGUGUACAUAUAUGCAUACAUAUAUACACGUAGAUAAUGUGCUUAACCACUGCCUUUUAAAACUUUAAAUUAAAUAAAACAUUGGGGUUGAUUCAA